GGCGAGUGGCGAACGGGUGAGUAAUACAUCGGAACGUACCCAGAAGUGGGGGAUAACGUAGCGAAAGUUACGCUAAUCCCGCAUACGUUCUACGGAAGAAAGUGGGGGAUCGCAAGACCUCAUGCUUUUGGAGCGGCCGAUGUCUGAUUAGCUAGUUGGUGAGGUAAAGGCUCACCAAGGCGACGAUCAGUAGCUGGUCUGAGAGGACGACCAGCCACACUGGAACUAAGACACGGUCCAGACUCCUACGGGAGGCAGCAGUGGGGAAUUUUGGACAAUGGGCGCAAGCCUGAUCCAGCAAUGCCGCGUGAGUGAAGAAGGCCUUCGGGUUGUAAAGCUCUUUUGUCAGGGAAGAAACGGCAGGAGCUAAUAUCCUUUGCUAAGACGGUACCUCAAGAAU
rnacentral:rRNA from 1 species